UUUCUUUCACCGGAGCUUGCUCCACCGAAAGAAAAGGAGUGGCGAACGGGUGAGUAACACGUGGGUAACCUGCCCAUCAGAAGGGGAUAACACUUGGAAACAGGUGCUAAUACCGUAUAACAAUCGAAACCGCAUGGUUUCGGUUUGAAAGGCGCUUUUGCGUCACUGAUGGAUGGACCCGCGGUGCAUUAGCUAGUUGGUGAGGUAACGGCUCACCAAGGCAACGAUGCAUAGCCGACCUGAGAGGGUGAUCGGCCACAUUGGGACUGAGACACGGCCCAAACUCCUACGGGAGGCAGCAGUAGGGAAUCUUCGGCAAUGGACGAAAGUCUGACCGAGCAACGCCGCGUGAGUGAAGAAGGUUUUCGGAUCGUAAAACUCUGUUGUUAGAGAAGAACAAGGAUGAGAGUAAAAUGUUCAUCCCUUGACGGUAUCUAACCAGAAAGCCACGGCUAACUACGUGUCAGCAGCCGCGGUAAUACGUAGGUGGCAAGCGUUGUCCGGAUUUAUUGGGCGUAAAGCGAGCGCAGGCGGUUUCUUAAGUCUGAUGUGAAAGCCCCCGGCUCAACCGGGGAGGGUCAUUGGAAACUGGGAAACUUGAGUGCAGAAGAGGAGAGUGGAAUUCCAUGUGUAGCGGUGAAAUGCGUAGAUAUAUGGAGGAACACCAGUGGCGAA
rnacentral:rRNA from 1 species